rnacentral:rRNA from 1 species
UACGAAGGGGGCUAGCGUUGCUCGGAAUCACUGGGCGUAAAGCGCACGUAGGCGGCUUUCUAAGUCAGGGGUGAAAUCCUGGAGCUCAACUCCAGAACUGCCUUUGAUACUGGAGAGCUUGAGUCCGGAAGAGGUGAGUGGAACUCCGAGUGUAGAGGUGAAAUUCGUAGAUAUUCGGAAGAACACCAGUGGCGAAGGCGGCUCACUGGUCCGGUACUGGACGCUGAUUGUGCGAAAAGCGUGGGGAGCAACAGGG